rnacentral:tRNA from 1 species
AUUGUUUUAGGUUAAUUAAACUCUGAGCCUUCAAAGUUCACUAUAAUCAUAAUAAUUUAUUAAACUUUA